rnacentral:rRNA from 1 species
CCUACGGGUGGCAGCAGUAGGGAAUAUUGCUCAAUGGGGGAAACCCUGAAGCAGCAACGCCGCGUGGAGGAUGAAGGUUUUCGGAUUGUAAACUCCUUUUGUUAGAGAAGAUAAUGACGGUAUCUAACGAAUAAGCACCGGCUAACUCCGUGCCAGCAGCCGCGGUAAUACGGAGGGUGCAAGCGUUACUCGGAAUUACUGGGCGUAAAGAGAGCGUAGGCGGGAUAGCAAGUCAGAUGUGAAAUCCUAUGGCUUAACCAUAGAACUGCAUUUGAAACUGGUAUUCUAGAGUAUGGGAGAGGUAGGCGGAAUUCGUGGUGUAGCGGUAAAAUGCGUAGAGAUCAAGAAGAAUACUCAUUGCGAAGGCAGCCUGCUAGA